rnacentral:rRNA from 1 species
UGAGUACAAGAUGCUACGGCAUUGAAGCAGUCUAUGUCAUACUUCCAAGAAAAGCUUGCAAUGUCAUAAACAAAUAAUGCCUGUACCAUAACCGACACAGGUGGGUAGGUAGAGUAUACUAAGGGGCGCGAGAUAACUCUCUCUAAGGAACUCGGCAAAAUGACUCCGUAACUUCGGGAGAAGGAGUACCUUAUUUUAUAAGGUUGCAAUAACAAGGUCCAAGCAACUGUUUACCAAAAACACAGGUCUCCGCUAAGUCGUAAGACGAUGUAUGGGGGCUGACGCCUGCCCAGUGCCAGAAGGUUAAAGAAGUUGGUUAGCAUUAGCGAAGCUGAUAACUGAAGCCCUGGUGAACGGCGGCCGUAACAAUAACGGUCCUAAGGUAGCGAAAUUCCUUGUCGGGUAAGUUCCGACCCGCACGAAAGGCGUAAUGAUUUGGAUACUGUCUCGGAGAGGGGCUCGGUGAAAUAGACUUGUCUGUGAAGAUGCGGACUACCUGCACCUGGACAGAAAGACCCUAUGAAGCUUUACUGUAACUUGAGAUUGAAAUUGGACUUUAUUUGCGCAGUAUAGGUGGGAGACCUCGAAAGUAUUCUUGCGGGAAUAUUGGAGUCAUCAGUGAGAUACCACUCUUAUAAUGUUAGAUUUCUAACUUUGUAUCAUUAUCUGGUCAAAGAACAGUUUCAGGCGGGCAGUUUGACUGGGGCGGUCGCCUCCCAAAUGGUAACGGAGGCGCACAAAGGUUUCCUCUGAACGUGUAGAAAUCGUAUCUAGAGUGUAAAGGCAUAAGGAAGCUUGACUGUGAGACCUACAAGUCGAGCAGGGACGAAAGUCGGUCUUAGUGAUCUGACGGUGCUGAGUGGAAAGGCCGUCACUCAACGGAUAAAAGUUACUCUAGGAUAACAGGCUGAUCUCCCCCAAGAGUUCACAUCGACGGGGAGGUUUGGCACCUCGAUGUCGGCUCAUCGCAUCCUGGGGCGGUAGUACGUCCCAAGGGUUGGGCUGUUCGCCCAUGAAAGCGGUACGCGAGCUGGGUUCAGAACGUCGUGAGACAGUUCGGUCCAUAUCCGGUGUAGGCGUUAGAAUAUUGAGAGGAGCCUUCUUUAGUACGAGAGGACCGAGAAGGACAUACCUCUGGUGUACCAGUUAUCGUGCCAACGGUAAACGCUGGGUAGCUAUGUAUGGAGAGGAUAACCGCUGAAAGCAUCUAAGUGGGAAGCCCACCUCAAGAUAAGUAUUCCCU